GCCCUCGCUUCGGCAGCACGUCUACUAAAACUGAAGCAAUACAGAGAGCAGCAAGGUCCCUGGGCAAGGAUGACAUGCAAAUUCGUGAAGUGUUCCAGAUUUUU
rnacentral:snRNA from 1 species